rnacentral:lncRNA from 1 species
CAUGGGAUUCACCACCCUGUCCUAGUGAGAUGUCCUCCAAUUAUUCUGCAAACAAAUGCUAUACUUAAAUCCUAUUAACUAGAGAGGAAAUGGUAUUUAGGUAUAGCAUAUUGUUAGUAUAUCCUGCUCUGGGUGAAUGGUUGGAGCUAGACUCUAAACAUAUCCUGCUUUGCUAUGUUAUUGUACAGUUUGAUAUAUUCCAAUUUUAUGCACUGGGCUAAAUGUUUUUCUUAUUGAUUCAUUUCUUCAGCAUUGUUUUCCUCUCUCUUUCUCCUUCCCUUAAAUCUUUUAUUGAGUUGAGUACUGCUAGCUAUUACAGCCUAUAUGCUGCAUUAAACUCCACUUAAAGAAACAAGAGUACAACUUGCUAAAAUGAUGUUAAAGAUCAUUAAUUCAUGCCUGGCAACUGUGAACUCAUCAUUUUUGACAAAGCAACUUACAAAUCGGGAAAAUAGCAGUACCCACAAUCUUAGCUUGUUGCUUGUUGCUUAUUGGUUGGUGCGACUCUCAACUGGAGCAAAAAUCGAUCCAUGACCAAUCCAAUUCAACAAGCAAAGUAUCAUAAUUGGUAACAAUUAAUAAAUGGCAAUAGGUAACAGUAAUUCAUCAGAAAUUCAGAAUUAAGUGCAUGCACUACCAAGAUGGAACAAGUAACCAUAAUAUUUAAAUAAAUAAAUAAAUUUCAUUGAGCAAGCGAUUGUUAUUGGAAUGUCAAAUUAGGAACAAAAUCAUGCAAAUUACCAUUUUUCUGGAAGAACGUCCAUCAACGGAAUUUAAAGUCAGUAUUUGGCCUACAGGAAGUUCCAAAGAAGCGUGAUUCUGAACUAAACAUUCAUUUCAACAUCAACUCAGAUCAGCAACUUCAGGAAGAUGUAAGAAAAUGUGCAAGUUCACAAAUCAGAAAUAUUUUCUUGAAGACAUGUGGAAGCCAGUUGGCGGUUCCCUUGUCAUAAGUAUGUUUUUGGAUUCACUUCACAUAAGCACAAAUGAUUCACAUUAUGUCCAGCACAUUGCAAACUUGACGAUCUCUGGUUUUUGCUUCAAUGCUUCUCUACUCUCUAUCCUCUAGCUCUUUAUCGAUACAGUUUAAGCCUUUUUGUGAUUUAUCACACUUUUAACUUUUUGUGUCGA